rnacentral:lncRNA from 1 species
AAAAAAGUAGCAACGAAAGUGAGAAAUAACCCCAUUAACUGCCACACCACUUCCAUAACAGUCCUAUUAAAUGAUCUUGCACACAUAUCGCCUGUACCCAACUUCUAGUACAAAUAACUAAAACGAAUCAAGCAAAGCACUAUUAAAACAACAACCCAAGUGAUGAAGCACUAUUAAGACAAAAAUACAAACUUGACAUUGCAUCAAAUGCCUACAUAAAGAAUCAGAUUUUUAAGCAUAGAUAAGACAUCAAAUGCUGUAUGUUAAAACAAUCACAACAAACAAUGUGUAGUGCAGCCUGAAACUAAAGAUCUCACUGAUCACUAAACCACAUGACCAAUAAACCACAUGACUUCUAAAAUGAAAACUACAUAUCAAGACGCUGAAAAUGUCAAAACCUUUCAGAGAAAGAAAGCAUCAACAUAAAUGCCUGUGGUGGUGGUGUCUGUGAUCAUCCCAUCCAAAGCACUGCAUGACUGGGUAACAAGCCAGAAACAAACAUCUCUCAAUGCCUCUCAUUAUGGAGGAGACUAGGUAACAGGGGCAGCAGAAACGUGCCAAGAAUGGAUCAUCAUGUGGGCUGAUCCUUUCAUGGUGAUGGUGGUGGUGAUGAUGACCCAUGUUGUUCCUUCACCUGAUCAACCACAAAUCACAAGUACCCAUUAAUCAAACUGCAAAAUCAAACCCAUGUGCAUAAAGGUAUAUGAUGAUUAGGAAAUUUUUUUCCCCGGUUCGUUUCUGUUAGAAGAAAAAAUCACUAAAAUCCAAGUAGUAGUUUUUUUAAAAAUAUAUAUAUUUAUUUUUAUUUUCCUCAAAACGUACAUGAAGAUGAAAAGAAUUUGCAAAACCAAUCAAAUAUAUCCCAAUCAGGGGCUUUAGAUUUGAUAGCGUUGCAUACGAAUUUCAACAUUUGCUUUGGGAGCUUUAUCAUCAUGAUCUAAUUUAAAUUAAAUGAAUAUGUAAUCAGAGUUAAUUGAAAUCUUUUACACAAAAAUCCCAUUAAAACUAUCAUCCAUUUUACUUUUAAAUCUUUUCAUGCUUCUGUUGAAAUUGAAAAUCAAAUCGUUUGAGCCUAAGGUUGCAUUUGGAUAAAAAAAAUCUGUACCCUUUCCUUUUCUAUUUUCUCCACCGCAUUCUUAAUCCAAACACAGACCAAGUCGUAUAAGAAUUUAUCAGGAACCUUACCUCGUGUUGUGUUGCUUUGUCAAUGGAAGCUCUGUCUUUGUACUGCGGGAGAUCACAGUGAGAACAUCAUAAGGCUUGGAUUUUAUGCAUUGAGAGAGAGAGAGAGAGAGAGAGAGAGAGAGAGAGAGAUGCUUCGUUGGGGGUUCCCUACUUAGCUUAAUUAUUAAGUUCAAUGAAGGAACGUCCAACGGAAGAAGACUAGAGAGAAAUGGAAAAGCGUCAAGACGACGU